GCAUAUCAAUAAGCGGAGGAAAAGAAACCAACAGGGAUUGCCUCAGUAACGGCGAGUGAAGCGGCAAGAGCUCAAAUUUGAAAGCUGGCCCCUUCGGGGUCCGCGUUGUAAUUUGCAGAGGAUGCUUCGGGUGCAGCCCCCGUCUAAGUGCCCUGGAACGGGCCGUCAUAGAGGGUGAGAAUCCCGUCUGGGACGGGGUGUCUGCGUCCGUGUGAAGCUCCUUCGACGAGUCGAGUUGUUUGGGAAUGCAGCUCUAAAUGGGUGGUAAAUUUCAUCUAAAGCUAAAUACUGGCCGGAGACCGAUAGCGCACAAGUAGAGUGAUCGAAAGAUGAAAAGCACUUUGAAAAGAGAGUUAAACAGCACGUGAAAUUGUUGAAAGGGAAGCGUUUGCGACCAGACUCGCCCGCGGGGUUCAGCCGGCAUUCGUGCCGGUGUACUUCCCCGUGGGCGGGCCAGCGUCGGUUUGGGCGGCCGGUCAAAGGCCCUCGGAACGUAUCACCUCUCGGGGUGUCUUAUAGCCGAGGGUGCAAUGCGGCCUGCCUGGACCGAGGAACGCGCUUCGGCUCGGACGCUGGCGUAAUGGUCGUAAAUGACCCGUCUUGAAACACGGACCAAGGAGUCUAACAUCUACGCGAGUGUUCGGGUGUCAAACCCGUACGCGCAGUGAAAGCGAACGGAGGUGGGAGCCCCCUCGCGGGGCGCACCAUCGACCGAUCCUGAUGUCUUCGGAUGGAUUUGAGUACGAGCGUAGCUGUGGGGACCCGAAAGAUGGUGAACUAUGCCUGAAUAGGGCGAAGCCAGAGGAAACUCUGGUGGAGGCUCGCAGCGGUUCUGACGUGCAAAUCGAUCGUCAAAUUUGGGUAUAGGGGCGAAAGACUAAUCGAACCAUCUAGUAGCUGGUUCCUGCGA
rnacentral:rRNA from 1 species